UUGGCGCGCGCCCACCGCCUCGUGGCGGCAGGAGACGUUGGCCCUGGGGAGAGCGGCCAGGAACUGCCUUUCCUGCGCCUCAAACAGCACUUCCUCAUUUACUGUUAGGCUAUAUAGCUUUUGGUACUCAUUCACGCCCAAAGUCUUACCGUGACGUGCUGUGGGGAGAAAGUCCUUGUGUGCAAAUGUGAGUGCCAGCUGCUAACACUUUGUCUCAGCAAAAAGAGAGCCACUUGUGAACAAGCAGAACGGACGAGCCAAAAGAAAGUACGUCUUGUGGAUGUGGAUAGCGUGACUCAAAGCUGCUGCAUUUGAGCACCUCCUCACUUGCUUUGAACUUUGCUACCCUGCCGUCACUGCUGCGCUUUCCAUCGUGUUACAGUCACCGAUGGCAAAUGCUUUGUCUCUAGAAGAAAGAAAAUGUGUCUGCAUGAGCUGAAUCUUACACUGCUGGAUAGCAGACCACCGUACAGCCAGUGAUGUGAUGGAGGAAGCAAAGAGCACUUUGCUAGGAAACUUAGAAGCUCCUUGGCCAUGCCAUGAUGGAUGACACAUGAAGGAAUGUAUUAAACUGGUAUUCUGAUGUUCCCAUUUGUUUUUGUUGUCAUGCUCAAUGUUUUACUUGGAAGUAUGGAUGUCUGUGCCUAAGAGAGUCUUGUGUGGCUUUCUGGAGAAAGUGAGAAAAGUUCCUCUUUCCACAUUUGAUGUCAUUCUUACUCAUUUCUCUACUGUAGUCUCAGACACCAAUGUGAAGAG